CAGGGCCCAUGCCAGCUGCCAGGGAGCCUGUGCCCGCCCCAACACUGCAGGCCGAGAGCAGCCAGCUCCGCUCCCCAUGGUCAGCGCCCGCUUCUCUGCACCCUCUGCCACGGGGAGGAUCCUGCAGGCCAGGGUCACCUGGUGGACUCGGCUCUGGGUCCUGGAGAGGGAAGGACCCUCUGCAGGGUCAUGAAGUGUGUCCUGUAACAUAACACAGAUGGCAGCAACCUAUAAACAAUUGGGCACGACACAAAUUUAAGGAUCUACCAUUUUGCUGGAUCAACUGUUCUUUAGGCUUUGACCAGAGGUUAUUUUCAGAUGAAAGUAUGGAUGAACACCUGAUUCUCAGGUUUAAACUUCGAAACCUUGUGAAAUCCAUCCAUUCAAACUCCCUGUCUGCCCACCUGGCUGCUCAGAGCUGCAGAGCGGCUGCUGUAUGGUAGGUAUUGGGUUGGGUCAGGACGGAGGAGCAGUAAACAGGCAAUCAGAGGCCUGAGGUGCUGGAAGACCUCGUGUGAGGACCCAAGUCCAGCCUCAGAGGAGGACUUCCUGGAGGAAGUGAUGCCCAUCCUGUCCUGAGUGAAGGGUCAGUGCGGUAAAGAGGAGAGCUGGGGAGUCCUUGGGCCAAAGGAGCAGUGGUGUGAAAGAUGGGUGCUUUGUUCCAGGCUUUGCAGUGUGAAGAUCAGAUCAAAACCUCAGAAAUGUCACUCCUGAUAGCUUUGAGAGGACUCCAAGGGGGCUGGACUAUUGUCAUGGAUACCAACAGGAAGGCCCUAGUAGCAACCAAGGAAGACCAAAGUGGCCUCACUAAGAGAGAACAGGAUGGCUGAGAGUGGAAAUGCCAGUGAGGCUGCGACACUGAGCGGUGGGAAUGCGGGCAGCUGGAGGCUGAGAUCGGAAAGCGAAGGACCAGUGUCCACUGAUGCCCAGGCCAGGGUGUGGCCCCAGCACACCAUGGCUACAUGGGAAUGGCGGUGAAGGCCACUUUAAGUGAGGUCAGGGGCCUGGAAGACUUCUUCUCUGGCUUGAAAAAGUAGGAUACACGUAAGGUAACAGUAAGGUAACGCUUACAGCUUUAACCCUUUGUAAGUGUACUGGAUUAAGGAUAAGAAGAGGAAUUCGCGCAUCUAUAGUGCUGUGCCACCGUCAUCCCUGUUCACCCACAGGACUCUUCUGCUCUUGCAAAACCAAAACUCUCCACUAAGCACAACUCUACGCUUCCCUCCAUCCCACUGCCACUGACUUCUAUGCCACCACUCUACAAAUUUAUGUCUCUAUGCAUUUGACCAGUCCAGGUGCCGCAUAUAAAUGUUGUCACACCGUAUUUCCUCUUUUUAUCUGGCUUAUUUCACUUACCAUGAUCUUCCCAAGUUUCAGUCAUGUUGUAGCAAGUGUCAGAAUUUCCUUCUUCAUCAGGCAUGUGAAACACAGCUGUAAUUCCAGCAUUUGGAUACUGAGGCAGGAGAUAGCUAAGAGUCAGAGAUCAGGGCUGGGGAUUUAUCUUAGUGGCAUAAGCACCUGCCAGGCAAGAGCAAAGUCAUGAGUUCAAUCCCCGGUGCCGAGAGAGAGAGAGAGAGAGAGAGAGAGAGAGAGAGAGAGAGAGAGAGAGAGAAUCUUGAACUAUAUAGUGAGUUCAAGGCCAACCUGGACUGCAUAGUGAGACCCUGUCUCAAAAAAAAAAAAAAAAAAAAGCCAAGUAAUAAUAUAUAUAUAUUUCUACCCCUUUUAAAUUUUUGAGUGUGGCCCACAAUAAGAAAUGUAUUUUAUUGUCAAGUAUGACAGACCCAGCCUGUAAUCUCAGCAUUCUGGUAGCUGAGGCAGGAGGAAUUCGAAUCCAAGCCCAGCCUGGUCAAGUUAACAGCAUCCUGUCUCAAAAAAAAAAAAAAGACUGAGGACGUAGCUCGGGGCUAAAGCUUGGGGUUCAGUCCCCAGCACUGCAAAAAAGAAAAAAAAAAAAAAAGGAUAUCUAUACCAUGAUGUUCUGACCUGCAAUACAUAUAUAUUUAUGUUAUUAAAAUAAUGUUAUUAGCAUAUGUUUUAUGUAAUACAUAUUGAAAUAAAUGUUUUCCCCCAAACUACCUUUUAUAUAGGCAAAGUA